rnacentral:ncRNA from 2 species
UAUUAAUAUUUUAGUGCAGGCUUCCUAAAUGGAAAUUAAUAGGGAAAGUGGUGAAAAACCGCUGCAGCCCCCGCUUCUGUAAGGAUGAUGAAACUCACGAUAUACCACUGAAGGCAUGAGUCUUUGGGAAGGUGUGAGGAGUAAGAUGAUUCUAAGUCAGCAGACCUACCUGUUUCUAUGGAUAUAG